AGAGUUUGAUCCUGGCUCAGAACGAACGCUGGCGGCGUGGAUAAGACAUGCAAGUCGAACGGGAUACAACUGGUAGUAAUAUUAGUUGUGUCUAGUGGCGAACGGGUGCGUAACACGUGGACAACAUUCCGGGAAGCGGGGGAUAGCCCAGGGAAACUUGGUUUAAUACCGCAUGUGAUUGAGCGUGGCAUCACGCGACGAUCAAAGGUGGGGACCGCAAGGCCUGCCACUUCCCGAUUGGUCCGCGGCCUAUCAGCUUGUUGGUGAGGUAACGGCUCACCAAGGCGACGACGGGUAGCUGGUCUGAGAGGACGACCAGCCACACUGGAACUGAGACACGGUCCAGACACCUACGGGUGGCAGCAGUCGAGAAUCAUUCACAAUGGGGGAAACCCUGAUGGUGCGACGCCGCGUGGAGGAUAAGGUCUUCGGAUUGUAAACUCCUGUCAUGUGAGAGCAAGGCUCUAGCGUUAAUAGCGUUGGAGUUUGAUAGUAUCACAAGAGGAAGAGACGGCUAACUCUGUGCCAGCAGCCGCGGUAAUACAGAGGUCUCAAGCGUUGUUCGGAAUCACUGGGCGUAAAGGGUGCGUAGGCGGCUUGGUAAGUCAGAUGUGAAAGCUCAGGG
rnacentral:rRNA from 1 species